AUUGAACGCUGGCGGCAUGCCUUACACAUGCAAGUCGAACGGUAGAGGGGGCAACCCCUCGAGAGUGGCGAACGGGUGAGUAAUGCAUCGGAACGUGCCCAGUAGUGGGGGAUAGCCCGGCGAAAGCCGGAUUAAUACCGCAUGAGACCUACGGGGGAAAGGGGGGGAUCGCAAGACCUCUCGCUAUUGGAGCGGCCGAUGUCAGAUUAGGUAGUUGGUGGGGUAAAGGCCUACCAAGCCGACGAUCUGUAGCUGGUCUGAGAGGACGACCAGCCACACUGGGCUGAGACACGGCCCAGACUCCUACGGGAGGCAGCAGUGGGGAAUUUUGGACAAUGGGCGAAAGCCUGAUCCAGCCAUGCCGCGUGCGGGAAGAAGGCCUUCGGGUUGUAAACCGCUUUUGUCAGGGAAGAAAUCCUUUGAGCUAAUACCUCGGGGGGAUGACGGUACCUGAAGAAUAAGCACCGGCUAACUACGUGCCAGCAGCCGCCGUAAUAC
rnacentral:rRNA from 1 species